GACGAACGCUGGCGGCGUGCUUAACACAUGCAAGUCGAACGGAAAGGCCCUGCUCUUGUGGGGUGCUCGAGUGGCGAACGGGUGAGUAACACGUGAGUAACAUGCCCUUGACUUUGGGAUAACUUCAGGAAACUGGGGCUCAUACCGGAUAGGAGCUCCUGCUGCAUGGUGGGGGUUGGAAAGUUUCGGCGGUUGGGGAUGGACUCGCGGCUUAUCAGCUUGUUGGUGGGGUAGUGGCUUACAAAGGCUUUGACGGGUAGCCGGCCUGAGCGGGUGACCGGCCACAUGAGGACUGAGAGACGGACCAGACUCGUACGGGAGGCAGCAGGCGGGAGUAUGGCGCAAUGGGCGGAAGCGUGAGGCAGCAACGCUGCGUUCGUGAAGACGGCCUUCGGGUGGUAAACCGCUUUCUCCGGUAACAAAGCGGGAGUGACGGUAAUGGGUAAAGAAGCACCGGCUAACUACGUG
rnacentral:rRNA from 1 species